UCCUACGGGAGGCAGCAGUGGGGAAUAUUGCACAAUGGGCGCAAGCCUGAUGCAGCAACGCCGCGUGAGGGACGAAGGCCUUCGGGUUGUAAACCUCUUUUAGUAGGGAAGAAGCGACUGGGUUUUCCUGGGAGUGACGGUACCUGCAGAAAAAGCACCGGCUAACUACGUGCCAGCAGCCGCGGUAAUACGUGGGGUGCAAGCGUUGUCCGGAAUUAUUGGGCGUAAAGAGCUCGUAGGCGGUUUGUCGCGUCUGCUGUGAAAACCCGAGGCUCAACCUCGGGCCUGCAGUGGGUACGGGCAGACUAGAGUGCGGUAGGGGAGAUUGGAAUUCCUGGUGUAGCGGUGGAAUGCGCAGAUAUCAGGAGGAACACCAAUGGCGAAGGCAGAUCUCUGGGCCGUAACUGACGCUGAGGAGCGAAAGCAUGGGGAGCGAACAGGAUUAGAUACCCUGGUAGUCCAAGCCGUAAACGUUGGGAACUAGAUGUGGGGACCAUUCCACGGUCUCCGUGUCGCAGCUAACGCAUUAAGUUCCCCGCCUGGGGAGUACGGCCGCAAGGCUAAAACUCAAAGGAAUUGACGGGGGCCCGCACAAGCGGCGGAGCAUGCGGAUUAAUUCGAUGCAACGCGAAGAGCCUUACCAAGGCUUGACAUAUACCGGAAACGGCUGGAAACAGUCGCCCCGCAAGGUCGGUAUACAGGUGGUGCAUGGUUGUCGUCAGCUCGUGUCGUGAGAUGUUGGGUUAAGUCCCGCAACGAGCGCAACCCUCGUCCUAUGUUGCCAGCACGUAAUGGUGGGAACUCAUGGGAUACUGCCGGGGUCAACUCGGAGGAAGGUGGGGAUGACGUCAAAUCAUCAUGCCCCUUAUGUCUUGGGCUUCACGCAUGCUACAAUGGCCGGUACAAAGGGCUGCGAUACCGCAAGGUGGAGCGAAUCCCAAAAAGCCGGUCUCAGUUCGGAUUGAGGUCUGCAACUCGACCUCAUGAAGUCGGAGUCGCUAGUAAUCGCAGAUCAGCAACGCUGCGGUGAAUACGUUCCCGGGCCUUGUACACACCGC
rnacentral:rRNA from 1 species